rnacentral:lncRNA from 1 species
CGCCGCUUCCUCCCCGCUCCGGCCGAGCCCGGUGCCCUCCGUGGCCGGGCGGGCGCUCCGGUCCGGCUGCGCCGCGGGACGGGCCCGAGGGACGGCGGAGCGAGUCCCUGGACAGGAAGCUGCAGCGGCCGCUCCUGGGCAAGUCGCGGACGCUGCCCAGCAUCCCGCAGUCCCCGGUGCUGAGCCGGCUGCCCCUGCUCGAGCCCGCCGCCUACCGGGACGAGAUGCCGGAGCAGAAGCCCUUCCAGAAGCACUCGGCCUCCGAGCACCAGAAAGGCUGCACGGUGCCUUCUGCCGGGGAGGCCUGGCGGCUGGAGGAUGACUGCUCGGAGCCGCCCAGGGCCCCCCAGCUGGGCACGGCUGUGGAGGACGCCCCGUUCAGCUACUUCCGCACGCGCUCCUUCUACAUGAGGAAGAGCCUGUCCGUGGACAACCACCUGGGCUCGCUGAGCUACGCCGUGCACCCGGCCGAGAGCAAGGCCGAGCGCGUCAGGACCAAGCUGCGGCGGCAGUUCUUUGAGCCUUGGUCCCUUCUCCUCCCACUGCCAACUCUCUUCCCAGCCCUGGGUCCUGAGCCAGCUCCCGGUGAUGCUGCCCCAUGGACGGGGAGAGCCCUGCCUGGAGGAGGAGAUGGAGACUCCAGGGGGACAUGGGAGGGUGGGGUGGUCUCCAAGAGACCCUCAGCCCAGUGUGGAACCUCUCUGAGCAGAGCUGCCCAGGUGUGAAGUAUCCUUCUGCUGGCACAAUAAAUUGCAUUUCCAGUCCUCUUUGGGGGCCUGU